UUUUAUGCUUGCAUAAAUGAUUUUUGGAUUCGGAGCGAGUGGCGAACUGGUGAGUAACACGUGGGUAACCUGCCCCGAAGCGGGGGAUAACAUUUGGAAACAAGUGCUAAUACCGCAUAAUUAGUUGGAACCGCAUGGUUCCAACUUGAAAGAUGGCUCUGCUAUCACUUUGGGAUGGACCCGCGCCGUAUUAGUUAGUUGGUGAGAUAAAAGCCCACCAAGACGAUGAUACGUAGCCGACCUGAGAGGGUAAUCGGCCACAUUGGGACUGAGACACGGCCCAGACUCCUACGGGAGGCAGCAGUAGGGAAUCUUCCACAAUGGACGAAAGUCUGAUGGAGCAACGCCGCGUGAGUGAUGAAGGUUUUCGGAUCGUAAAACUCUGUUGUUAAAGAAGAACAAGUGUUAGAGUAACUGUUAACACUUUGACGGUAUUUAACCAGAAAGCCACGGCUAACUACGUGCCAGCAGCCGCGGUAAUACGUAGGUGGCAAGCGUUGUCCGGAUUUAUUGGGCGUAAAGCGAGCGCAGGCGGUUUUGUAAGUCUGCUGUGAAAGCCCUCAGCUCAACUGAGGAAGUGCAGUGGAAACUACAAAACUUGAGUACAGAAGAGGAAAGUGGAACUCCAUGUGUAGCGGUGAAAUGCGUAGAUAUAUGGAAGAACACCAGUGGCGAAGGCGGCUUUCUGGUCUGUUACUGACGCUGAGGCUCGAAAGCAUGGGUAGCGAACAGGAUUAGAUACCCUGGUAGUCCAUGCCGUAAACGAUGAAUACUAGGUGUUUGGAAGGGUUUCCGCCCUUCAGUGCCGCAGCUAACGCAUUAAGUAUUCCGCCUGGGGGAGUACGACCGCAAGGUUGAAACUCAAAGGAAUUGACGGGGGCCCGCACAAGUGGUGGAGCAUGUGGUUUAAUUCGAUGCUACGCGAAGAACCUUACCAGCUCUUGACAUCUUCUGCCAACCCAAGAGAUUGGGCGUUCCCUUCGGGGACAGAAUGACAGGUGGUGCAUGGUUGUCGUCAGCUCGUGUCGUGAGAUGUUGGGUUAAGUCCCGCAACGAGCGCAACCCUUAUUAUUAGUUGCCAGCAUUUAGUUGGGCACUCUAGUGAGACUGCCGGUGAUAAACCGGAGGAAGGUGGGGACGACGUCAAAUCAUCAUGCCCCUUAUGAGCUGGGCUACACACGUGCUACAAUGGAUGGUACAACGAGUCGCGAAACCGCGAGGUCAAGCUAAUCUCUUAAAGCCAUUCUCAGUUCGGAUUGCAGGCUGCAACUCGCCUGCAUGAAGUUGGAAUCACUAGUAAUCGUGGAUCAGCAUGCCACGGUGAAUACGUUCCCGGGCCUUGUACACACCGCCCGUCACACCAUGAGAGUUUGUAACACCCAAAGACG
rnacentral:rRNA from 1 species